rnacentral:misc_RNA from 1 species
GUAAUAUUUUAGGCAUCAUCAUUCUACAAACAUUAUAAGUGGUUUGUUAUAAAGGGGGCAAAGUGCAGCCUUAAGCAAGUCAACGAAGACUCGCAACCUCUCGCAGUAAAGUAAGAGGGACCACGACUUUGAAAGUGCACAGUGGUUGAAUGAAUUUGAGAUGUUGCAGACCGAGCACAUGCAUAUAGCCAGCAUCAAGUCCACUUCAAAGCUCAAUAAUGAUCCUUCCGCAGGUUCACCUACGGAAA